rnacentral:rRNA from 1 species
GUAGGGAAUAUUGGGCAAUGGUCGGAAGACUGACCCAGCCAUGCCGCGUGCAGGAAGACGGCCCUCUGGGUUGUAAACUGCUUUUAUCUGGGAAGAAAAAGGCCAUGCGUGGCAAAUUGCCGGUACCAGAUGAAUAAGCACCGGCUAACUCCGUGCCAGCAGCCGCGGUAAUACGGAGGGUGCGAGCGUUGUCCGGAUUUAUUGGGUUUAAAGGGUGCGUAGGCGGCUGAUUAAGUCAGCGGUGAUAGACUUCGGCUUAACCGGAGCAGUGCCGUUGAUACUGAUUGGCUUGAGUGUCGGAGGGGUACAUGGAAUUGAUGGUGUAGCGGUGAAAUGCAUAGAUACCAUCAGGAACACCGAUAGCGAAGGCAUUGUACUGGCCGACAACUGACGCUGAUGCACGAAAGUGUGGGGAUCGAACAGGAUUAGAAACCCGGGUAGUCC